rnacentral:rRNA from 1 species
AAAAGAACUUUGAAGAGAGAGUUCAAGAGGACGUGAAACCACAAGGGGCGAAGCGGAGAGAGUUGAUAUAGCUGGCAGUGAUCAGUGCUGUAGAGUGCUCCGCUGUGCGUUGGCUGAUAGUUUAGUCGGUCGCGUGCGGUUUGGGUGGGCGCUUUGCGGUGCGCUUUCGCUGUCAGUAUACGCUGAGACGUUCGGAGUGUCCUUCUGAACCGUGCAGUGUGGUCCAGUUCGCUGGUAACCUGUUGUGCGGGGAGGUUGAUGUACGCUCUGUUCGGCAAAAGCUCGUUCAUGUACGGAGUUUGUGAGCGCUUGUCGGCUGCGGCGUUGGUGGCUUGCCAUCUGCGUCGUGUGUUGGCUCGUGUUUGCGAACGCUGUUAGGACUUGCUCUCGGUGAGAAAGUCGACCACCUCUCCGACCCGUCUUGAAACACGGACCAAGAAGUCUAGCAGUUGCGCGAGUCAAUGGGUUUUAAACCUACUGGCGAAAUGAAAGUGAAGGUCGGCUUGCCGGCUGAUAUGUGAUCCGUGGCUUCGGCUGCGGCGCAACAUAGCCCCAUGCUAAUUGCUUGCAAUGGUGUGGAGGUAGAGCGUAACUGCUGGGACCCGAAAGAUGGUGAACUAUGCCCGAGCAGGAUGAAGCCAGAGGAAACUCUGGUGGAAGUCCGAAGCGGUUCUGACGUGCAAAUCGAUCGUCUGACUCGGGUAUAGGGGCGAAAGACUAAUCGAACCAUCUAGUAGCUGGUUCCCUCCGAAGUUUCCCCCAGGAUAGCUGGAGUGAUGUGCUGUUAUAUUCGGUAAAGCGAAUGAUUAGAGGAAUUGGGGACGAAAUGUUCUCAACCUAUUCUCAAACUUUCAAUGGGUACGAUGUUGCGGUUUCUUAAUUGAACUGUGACUUCGAAAGCACGCUCCAAGUGGGCCAUUUUUGGUAAGCAGAACUGGCGAUGCGGGAUGAACCGAACGUCGAGAUAAGGUGCCUAACUCUCCGCUCAUGAGACCCCACAAAAGGCGUUGGUUGAUAUAGACAGCAGGACGGUGGCCAUGGAAGUUGGAAUCCGCUAAGGAGUGUGUAACAACUCACCUGCCGAAUCAACUAGCCCUGAAAAUGGAUGGCGCUUGAGCGGGGGACCUAUACUUGACCGUUGUUGGCUUGUACGGCUUCGGUCGUCUGGCCUCAACGAGUAGGAGGGUCGCAGCGGUUUGCGUUGAAGGCUUAGGGCAGUGGCCCGGCUGGAGCUUCCG